CAAUAGCGUAUAUUUAAGUUGCUGCAGUUAAAAAGCUCGUAGUUGGAUUUCGGGUGGGAAUGGCCGGUCCGCCGUUUCGGUGUGCACUUGCUACGCCCACCUUGCUGCCGGGGACGUGCUCUUGAGUUCACGCUCGGGACACGGAGUCGGCGAGGUUACUUUGAGUAAAUUAGAGUGUUCAAAGCAGGCCUACGCUCUGAAUACAUUAGCAUGGAAUAACACGAUAGGACUCUGGCCUAUCUUGUUGGUCGGUAGGACCGGAGUAAUGAUUAAGAGGGACAGUCGGGGGCAUUCGUAUUUCAUUGUCAGAGGUGAAAUUCUUGGAUUUAUGAAAGACGAACUACUGCGAAAGCAUUUGCCAAGGAUGUUUUCAUUAA
rnacentral:rRNA from 1 species